AUUGAAACACCAGUUCUCGUAUGAUCAUCAAAGUUAAGCAACAUCACACCUGUCCAGUAUCUAGAUGGGUGACUGCAUGGGAAUAUCAGGUACUGUAAG